CCUACGGGAGGCAGCAGUAGGGAAUCUUCCACAAUGGACGAAAGUCUGAUGGAGCAACGCCGCGUGAGUGAAGAAGGGUUUCGGCUUGUAAAGCUCUGUCGGCAGUGAAGAAAGAUAGAGGUAGUAACUGGCCUUCAUUUGACGGUAAUUACUUAGAAAGUCACGGCUAACUACGUGCCAGCAGCCGCUGUAAUACGUAGGUGGCAAGCGUUGUCCGGAUGUAUUGGGCGUAAGGGGAGUGCAGGCGGUUCAAUAAGUCUGAUGUGAAAGCCGUCGGCUCAACCGGAGUAUUGCAUCAGAAACUGUUGAACUUGAGUGCAGGAGAGGUAAGUGGAACUCCAUGUGUAGCGGUGGAAUGCGUAGAUAUAUGGAAGAACACCAGUGGCGAAGGCGGCUUUCUGGUCUGCAACUGACGCUGAGGCUCGAAAGCAUGGGUAGCGAACAGGAUUAGAUACCCGGGUAGUC
rnacentral:rRNA from 1 species